UCAAAUAGUAUAAGCAUCCAA
rnacentral:piRNA from 1 species